rnacentral:rRNA from 1 species
GAAGGGUGCAAGCGUUGUUCGGAUUUAUUGGGCGUAAAGCGCGCGCAGGCGGAUAAUCAAGUCAGAUGUGAAAUCUCGGGGCUCAACCUCGAAACUGCGUCUGAAACUGUUUAUCUAGAAUCUUGGAGAGGGAGGUGGAAUUUCGCAUGUAGGGGUAAAAUCCGUAGAGAUGCGAAGGAACAUCGGAGGCGAAGGCGACCUCCUGGACAAGUAUUGACGCUGAGGCGCGAAAGCGUGGGGAGCAAACAGGGAUUAGAUACCCUGGUAGUCCACGCCGUAAACGAUGAGAACUAGAUAUGGGGGGACUUUGACCUUUUCCGUAUCGUAGCUAACGCAUUAAGUUCUCCGCCUGGGGAGUACGGUCGCAAGACUA